UUACGGUCACAUCACGUUGAAACACAGGUUUCGAUACAAUCGCCAAAGUUAAGCAACAUCGUCCCUGCUCAGUACCUAGAUGAGUGACCGCUUGGGAAUAGCAGGUGCUAU